AGUGCGACCCUUCAAAGGUCUAUUUUGGAUUUCAAAAAGAGACACAUGAAUCACCCUGAAAGAAACUUUCUGUUUCUCUCAAGCAAGAAGAGGGCUUUUAAAAAUCUAUAUACUGAAUGGAAUGAUUUCAGCAGAGGAGGAGGAAGAGUCUGCAUGGAUUCCAGCUGAAAAUUUCUACGAGCAGGUGGAAGGAAGAUGUUGCUUUUGAGUCAUCAGACUGUAUAGAUUUGGUGAUCAAAGACUCUAACUGAGACUCAGGUGAACACAGCCUAAGUUUUUGGGAACUCCGAGUUUCUUCUCACUGUGUUUCUGUGGGGACUGAUUUGCUUAGAUUAUUUUUUUAAUUUAUGUUUAUGUAUAACUGUGAAAAUAAUGUAUGUAGCUUAUAAAGUAGUCAUGUUACAUUGUAUAAAUUAAGUUGUUGUUUAUUAUGUUUCUUUAUAAUAAGAUUUUGUCAAGCUGGUAA